GACGAACGCUGGCGGCGUGCUUAACACAUGCAAGUCGAACGGAAAGGCCCUGCUUUUGUGGGGUGCUCGAGUGGCGAACGGGUGAGUAACACGUGAGUAACCUGCCCUUGACUUUGGGAUAACUUCAGGAAACUGGGGCUAAUACCGGAUAGGAGCUCCUGCUGCAUGGUGGGGGUUGGAAAGUCUCGGCGGUUGGGGAUGGACUCGCGGCUUAUCAGCUUGUUGGUGGGGUAGUGGCUUACCAAGGCUUUGACGGGUAGCCGGCCUGAGAGGGUGACCGGCCACAUUGGGACUGAGAUACGGCCCAGACUCCUACGGGAGGCAGCAGUGGGGAAUAUUGCACAAUGGGCGGAAGCCUGAUGCAGCAACGCCGCGUGCGGGAUGACGGCCUUCGGGUUGUAAACCGCUUUCGCCUGUGACGAAGCGUGAGUGACGGUAAUGGGUAAAGAAGCACCGACUAACUACGUG
rnacentral:rRNA from 1 species